rnacentral:rRNA from 1 species
GGGGAAUAUUGGACAAUGGGCGCAAGCCUGAUCCAGCAACGCCGCGUGGAGGAUGAAGGUCUUCGGAUCGUAAACUCCUGUCAGACGGGACGAAGGUAGCAGGGUAAACAAUCCUGUUGCUUGACGGUACCGUCAGAGGAAGCCCCGGCUAACUCCGUGCCAGCAGCCGCGGUAAUACGGAGGGGGCAAGCGUUAUUCGGAAUUAUUGGGCGUAAAGGGCGCGUAGGCGGCUUGACAAGUCAAAGGUGAAAUCCCUCGGCUCAACUGAGGAACUGCCUUUGAAACUGUCUGGCUUGAGGCCGGGAGAGGGUAGCGGAAUUCCCAGUGUAGCGGUGAAAUGCGUAGAUAUUGGGAGGAACACCAGUGGCGAAGGCGGCUACCUGGACCGGUUCUGACGCUGAGGCGCGAAAGCGUGGGUAGCAAAC